AUGCAUCUGCUUCGGCACGGUUUCAUGCCAAGCUAUAAUUGUUGGACCAAUCAUGGAGAAAGAGGGGUUAUAAUGGAAGAAGAUGAAGAAGGGGAUGAUUUCAUCGAUGAAAGCUAUCUUGCUCAUUUCGGUGAUACUUUCAUGGAGGAUGCUGAAGGUGAAGGGGAAGGUGAAGAAGAGGCACGUGAUGAUCCCGUUGAUGAUCUUGGUCGGACCAUUGCUGAUGCACGGAGACGCUGCGAAACUGAAAAGGAGAGGGAGAAUUUGGAUCGCAUGUUAGAGGAUCACAGAAAGGCGUUGUACCCCGGAUGCGAUGAUGGUCUGAAAAAGCUGGGCUGCACACUGGAUUUGCUGAAAUGGAAGGCAGAGGCAGGUGUAGGUGACUCAUCAUUUGAAAAUUUGCUGAAAAUGUUGAAGAAUAUGUUGCCGAAGAAUAACGAGUUGCCCGCCAGUACGUACGAAGCAAAGAAGGUUGUCUGCCCUCUAGGUUUAGAGGUUCAGAAGAUACAUGCAUGCAUUAAUGACUGCAUCCUCUACCGCGGUGAAUACGAGAAUUUGAAUGAAUGCCCUGUAUGCACUGCAUUGCGUUAUAAGAUUGAUGAUUGA
rnacentral:rRNA from 1 species